UACGAAGGGGGCUAGCGUUGCUCGGAAUUACUGGGCGUAAAGCGCACGUAGGCGGCUUCUUAAGUCGGAGGUGAAAUCCUGGAGCUCAACUCCAGAACUGCCUUUGAUACUGAGGAUCUUGAGUUCGGGAGAGGUGAGUGGAACUGCGAGUGUAGAGGUGAAAUUCGUAGAUAUUCGCAAGAACACCAGUGGCGAAGGCGGCUCACUGGCCCGAUACUGACGCUGAGGCGCGACAGCGUGGGGAGCAAACAGG
rnacentral:rRNA from 1 species